AAGUGGGGGCUCUUCGGACCUCACGUUAUUCGAGCGGCCGAUGUCUGAUUAGCUAGUUGGUGGGGUAAAGGCCUACCAAGGCGACGAUCAGUAGCGGGUCUGAGAGGAUGAUCCGCCACACUGGGACUGAGACACGGCUCAGACUCCUACGGGAGGCAGCAGUGGGGAAUUUUGGACAAUGGGCGCAAGCCUGAUCCAGCCAUGCCGCGUGUCUGAAGAAGGCCUUCGGGUUGUAAAGGACUUUUGUUAGGGAAGAAAAGGAUAGUGUUAAUACCAUUAUCUGCAGACGGACCAAAGAAUAA
rnacentral:rRNA from 1 species